UUUCUUUUUCUUUUACAUUCAUUAGCCAUCAGAGAUAACAUUUAUCAAGUUUCUACAGGUUUUAAUUCGUUUUGCAAUCACAUAACCCCAGGAAACAGAGACCAUCCCCACUUUACAGAAGAGGGGCUUGGAGACCCAGAGAGGUUUAAAUCACUUUGCUAAGGUCACACAGCUGGAAGUCUGCAGUGGACCCAAGGUGGUCGAACUCCAGGACCGCCUUGACCACUACAUUAAGUGGCUCCGUAUGGCUACAUUUUUUUUCCCACGUUGUUAAAGAGUGACUAAUGCUGCCUGCCAUCUGUUACCAAGUCCGGUGGCUUUUCCUUCAGCUCCCUCCCGGAAUUGCAGCGCUCCGAACGCCCAUCCCCCCGCCAGAAGCACUUCCUGGCUCAAGCUAUGGCACCCACAGCUGCCACUGAGGCACCAACCAUCUCUGGGCUUCUGGGCCCCAGCACUGCAGGUUCCAACGGCGGAGAAUUCCGUAUGGAGGCUCUUCUUUGUCCUCUGUGCUCACCUGCACACUGCGUGGCCAUAGCUCCCAGCGUGCUCCGCCUCAGACCUCUCCUCCUUCAAAACCCCCAUCCCACCUUCUGUCUCACAUCAGAGCCGACUCUGAAGCCGUUGCCUGUGCCUGGAAUGCUCUCACCCCUCUCACGAAUUCUCUCCCUUUUUGGUACACAGACAGCUUCUGAAACUCCUAUUGGUCCGUGGAAUUUUUCUCUGCUGAUACAGGAGCAAGAGCUGUUCUCCACUUUGCCGAUUCAGAGUAGCUCCUGGAGUCCAGCCUGGCUGAGGCUUGGGGUCCACCACUUACUAGCCCUAUAAACUUGGGCAGGUUUCUAAGUCUCAAUACCUCCUCAUUGGCAUGGGAUAUUCAUACCUGCAGUCAAAGGAUUGUUAUGAGAUUUAAAUAACAUAAUCCAUGAAACGCUCCUAGCACAGAGCUGGCACAAAAGGUGGAAUCGAUAAAGAGAAAAAGAAGAAGGAAAUGUGGUAGCCAUGAAAAUGUGCCUCUUAGGCCGGAUCCAGUGAGCAUAGUUGACAUACAGCCCCUGCUGCUGGCCCUCUGCACCCACCACCACAUCACGCCGAGGCCUCACUUUCCUGAGCCCAGAGAGCCACUGCACAGGUCCGUUCCUGCAGCAUGCAGGCUCCUCCAUCAGGCAUUAGGUCUGAUGGCUCACCCUCCCUGCUCCUGCUCCCUCCCUUUAUCCUUCACAGGUCCAAGAAAAUGGAUGAGGUUUUGGGACUGACUCCCUCACUGCCCAAGAGGCAAAGAGGAUGGUCACAUCUGUACCACUUACAAAGUAUGUGAUCACAUAGGUGAUGUCGUCUAAUUAUCACAGCAGCCCUGUGGGGUGUGUUAACUGGAGCUCAGCAGUCUACCUGAACCGUGGGGCACACCGAGGGAGGAUGCUGCAGUGAGUUGCAAGGGUCCCCAAUGGCUGCGUGGAGCCACCCCCUUGCCUGAACUGCUGCCCUCCAGACUUCCACCCUGUGAGGAGGAAUCAUGCUGAAGGGUUGAAUCUGGACUUUGCUCGGACAGGAUCCGGUCCAGAUGAGGACAUGGCAGCCUCUGGGGAGAGCAGCAUCUACGCCUACUCCUUGACUGAUAGACUAGUGCAGGUGCCUGCCUGGAGGCGUGCUUCUCAAUCUACCCAUGGGGAAGGACCAGCUUUCAAAGGUCCAACCUGUCGUGGGCUGAUACUUUAGUAAAAUACAAUUAAAAUGAAAUUUUAAAAAAGACAUGAAUCUCAUAUUUUUAAUUAUUAGAUUGAACAGACAUAAAAUAACUCUGUCAAAUGGCUAUAAAAUUUCUCAUCACAGUUGCUCUCAGGUUCUGUACUUGCCUCAUUGAGGACUGGUAACAAUCCACAGACCAGCACUGGUCUGUUGACCACACUUUGGGUAGUAUGGACCUUUUAACCUAUACCCAAAAGGAAUAUUAUAUGUGUGGCAUGUAUAUUUAUAAAAAUGUUUAGAUAGAUUAAGUAACUCUGUAUUAGAAAAUUUUUAUUUUGAACAAUC
rnacentral:lncRNA from 1 species